rnacentral:lncRNA from 1 species
CUAUAGUUCUAUACUUCCCUCACCUCCCUGCAACUCCUCUGCGCCGACCUCCCGGCUGCCACUCUUCCUUGCAGCACUCACUAGUCGCCAGCUAUCCUCCGCUCCCCCGGCUGCACUCGCCAUCCGUCGCCGCUGCUCUCGCCGCACUUCUCCACUUUCUUCCCCACCCAUCGCUACUGCCUCUCCCCACCCGCCGUGACCCCUGCUUAUCCACCGCCUACCAACCUACUCCCCUGCGCAAUUCCGCAUCGUGGUCUAGGGCCCUCUUCGGCGAUCAGAUCCGGCGUCUCCACGGCCGGAUCUGCCAACCUACCAUUUCCUCCGCUCCCGGAUCCGCCGCCGCUGCUGCCAGUGUUCUCAGGCGGCAGCCACAGCUGCUGUCGGGCCCCAGUCUCCAGCGCGGUGUUCAACGUGUCGACCAGCAUCAUCGGCGCCCCCCGUGCUGUUCCUCGUCGUGCUCGUCGACGUCUACGUGCUCAACGUUUUCCCCGUGCUGUUCCUCUGCGCGCCACCAAGGAGACUGCGUGCCCCGCCGCCGCAGCCUCCCCUCCGCCCGCUCCUAGCAAGAGACGGAGCGGGAUUUGGGACCGGUGACACGGCGCCGCUGCGUGAGGGAGCUGCGGCUGCCACAUUUAAUCAGCGGCGGGAAUGAGAGAGCUGUGGGACGUCGCCGCCUUCUGCGUCGUCCCUGCCUGCAACGCCUUCUCCGCCGCAAGUUCCUGCACGCACGUCGCCACCACCUCCAGUACCUCACCACCGCCAUCAUGGCCCCCCUGCUUCUGCUCCUUCCCCACUGCUCCGAUUCGAAAAUCCUUUCCCACUUCUUGAAUCGUCUUAGAUUAUUGGAUGAGCUGCAAUUUUAAUCAUGUUCCUCUGACUUGUUUCGUAUGGUCCUGAAUGGAUUCAGACGCAUCGAGCAAAUUACGUCAAAGAUUACACUGAUGGUGAUACAGGGGAGCCAUGAGAUUGAUUCUAACAUGCCGUCGUUCCUUUUUGGCUUUGCGCUUACAGGCUCCAGCAGCAGGGGCGACGACAUGGGAGCUGUGGCUGUAAGCAGGGAGGAUAUGGAGGUGAAGAAGAUGGAGGCCGGCGGCGAGCUCCGGUCCGAAGAUAUUGGCCUCGGCGUUUCUCCUGGCCAUGCAUCUUUCUUUGUUCUCUGCUAUGCCAAGCGCCGGCAGCUUACCAGCCGGCAACCAUCUUUGUGUUUCUUGGGCACCAGCUAGCAUGACGGCGAGAAUGCUGAAUAACGAGAAAAAAAAUUAAGCUUAUAAGAUUUUCUCGAUAUUGUGGUCAACUUUGCUCACAUUUUGUUUGUAAAGUUCUCCAGCUUAUGUGUACAAUGUUGCCUGAAAUGACUUUCCUGCUUUAUAUGACAUCUAGCAUAUGUUGACUUAAAUUUCUGAAAUUUCUAUCUGAACAUGAGCAGUUGCAUGAGGCCGAGGGUCAGGGUGUGGUGUUUGAUGCAGCUAGCCUAGAUUGAGACGAAGAAGUACAAUGAUCACGUAUGCGUUGCCAUUUGCACUAGAAUGCAAACAGUGGCACUUGAUUUCCUGUUUCAGUCUGCCUAUAAACUAAAAGAGAGCACUCCUGUGGAGAUAAUGUUACACUUUUCCUUCCUGAAGUUAAAAUGUCAAGCAAGUUAUGAAUCGUUUUAAGUUCUGCUCUUUUAAUGUUUGCACUACUAGAAAAUCUGAAUUCGUUCAAGAUGGUUUGGGCAAAUUUCAAUUCAGUGGCUGGCUUAUAUUUCAAUUCAGAUGGUUGAGUGUCUGAUCCAACUGUAGCAAAAGCUGGUGGCCAGGCUACAAGUUGAUGCAUAUCCAUGAGUACAAAGCUUGAGCAUUCUGUAGUAUGAAAAGCAGGUGGGGCUACAGUUUUUGUCUUAACAGGUAUUUAGUUUCCAUACAAAUUUAGUGUUGUGCAUUGUAAUCCGAAAUUGACUUUCAGACUAAUACUUGAAGGUCAUUCAAUGAUAAACCAGUGAAGGUAUAAGUUGCCUCGAUUGGGAAGGACUUGUUUGAGAGUGUUUGACCCACUGAAGGUCAUUCUAUCGUAUCUUGGGUCAGCUAUUUUGCAAGUGUUUGACCUAAUCAACAAUAUGAUGUGUGUAAAUUUUGAGUCACCUGUUGCUACGCGCGCGCACCAAACUAGUCUAGCCAAUAAUCCUAUUCUUGCUAGUUAGGUAUUCUAACAAAUUAAAUAAUCCUAUUCUCGCUAACUAGCAAGGUUGCCCACACAUAAAUAGCACGACUGAUUCGAAUUUUGCUGCGUGUGCAAUCUUAGUUUCCAGAGAGAAUUCCUUAUCUGGCCCUAAAACAAAUGGCGCUUCCUAUUUGGCCCUUUUUUACCAUUCAUCCCUUAUUUGGGCCUUCCGUCCACUUGACUGUUAGAUGGCCUGCGAAAAUUCCUCUUUGCCCCUGGCGAAAAUCACAGCAUGCCUUAUUUGACCCCCUUUUUACAAAACACAACAGAUUGCAUAUCUACCUUAUUUGACCCCAUGCAAGACAAAAAAAAUUCGGCAUAUCUGUUGUAAAUGUGAAUAUAUAAAGUCCAUUUAUAGCCAAAUUCUCCACAUUUGCAACAGAUAUAUUUAAGCACAACAUCAAUGAUAUGCAAUCCACAAGAAUUUCCAACACAUAGUCCAUUUUGGGGAUCUCCCAUUUUGGACAGCACCCAAGUCAUAUGGUUCAAAUGUGCAUCGCCAAGCAUACAAGUUCAUAUGGUUCACAUGCAGUAGGUUUAUAUAAAUAGGAUGUUCACAUACAGAUCCACCAUCCACCAUCUCCAACGCAUACGAUUCUUCACAUACAAGUUCACAUGAGCACAACAUGCUUAUAAUAACGUAAAAACCACAAAAUCGCAAACUGAGCCUUCUUUUGCUUCUUGUGCUCAUCGCCAGGCUAUAUAGGAUCAACUUUUUUGCUUCUUGUGACCAUUGCAGGGCUGUCAAAUAACACACCAGAUUUUUUCCCUUUCUCUUUAGUUUCUUUCUUCCCUUUGGGAUUUGAGAGCUUUACCUUCCCUUGUGCAUUCCUCCAUUUAGGCUUUGUCGCAGCAAUGGGAUUUGAGCCAGUAGACAUAGGAAACUCAAUACUAAUUGGCUCUGGCUGAGUUGUGCUUCCGGCUGACCUGCACCUAUCCAUGCAUAAGAAAAGAAAUAAGAAAUUCAGAACCUAGCUGAUUGGAAGCAAAGGAAUUUUCAGCACAAACUAGAACCAUAUAGUACCUUGUUGAGUCUCCAGAUUCUGAUGCACAUUUUCCACCUUUAGUUGUUGUAGGUCCUACGCUUUGGCUAUGGUGACAAGAAAGCAAAUUAGCAGUGAACGCAUUAAUUUAAACAUGAGCACAAGUGUGAAAGUGUAAACCUUGGUGGGAAACACAUAGAGGAAGAUGGUGCAUCAUCAUUAAAAGGGACUAUGCUUUCAUCUGUUGUGCCCGACGCGCCGUGGUCUGGCCGGCGAGCCCGUGAGGCUCGCGGCCUGGCCUACAUGCGCCCGACGCUCCACGGCUUGGCCGACCAUGAUGACUCCUCCCCUCACUUGACUGGCCGCCACCACGACACCUCUUCCCGUCCGCUGCCAGCCAAGCCCGCCACCUACCCACCUCACCUCCACCUGCCCGCCUCACCUCUGCUUGCCCGCCCGCCCGCCCAUCUCGACACUACCACCAUCGCCAAUUUGGAUCGGUUCCUGGUGGUAGCAGUGGAUAGGGUUUGAGAUGUUUCAUGGGAGAGAUGGGGAAAGUGACUCUUUAGUGAGAUCUCCUAAUUCGUGGGGUUCAGGCAUGCCUCGUGUCCAUCUAUCGGGCUGUGUUAGUGUCCAUCUAUCAAGCCGUGUGGUGACACAAGGGCGUAAUGGUCCAUUUUGGAAAACUAUGAUGGGAGAACCAGGAAAACUAAAGGAAUCGUGGACAGAAGGGCCAAAUAAGGCAUUGUUGGAUUUAUAAGCCCGGCAGUCCACCGGGGGUUACCCAAAUGGUUAAUUUGUAGGUGUUGGCGCUAGAAAUCGGUCAACCGAAUCCCCAGCAUCUGACACACGACCCGGGAGAAUCUGCUUAACUCCUAUUCGGGUGAUUGCCCUGGUGCGGUUCGCGCGGCGUGCCAGCCAAUUUGACCUGUUGAUUGGCAAGGAAGGAUACGUGUCAGGUCCAGAAAUCGCGAUCGGCUAAGUUUCCGAUCUCGAGAGAGCUUAUCAGCGAAUCGGCCAAUUUGCCGUAAUAAAGAAAUCGGCUAUAAGGCAGCCGAUCACUGUAGCCUUGUAGACAGAAAACUACUAGAGUAAUCGACACAAAGCUAAGAUAACAGCACUAGGAACAGAUCUAAUCGGCAAUAUAAAAUAGAUGAAUUUAAUAGUAGAACGUGAAGAGAGCCGAAACUACCGAUUCCUAGCUGGAUAACUGGUGAUAAAACUAGAAAGACAGGUAAAACCUAUAAUUCUAGUAAAUAUCGAUAACUAGUGAAUAAAUCUAAACGAAACAACAGCGAUACGCCCGAAGUUAAAGCUUAGAUAUUACUCGAUAAGCGGAACUUACAGAAUCGGCCGGAGAUCAAUGCUGAUGCAGCCCUGCCAAUCCGCACGAACUCGUGAAAAAGAGAGAAGUAUUGGCGAAGUCGCCUGCUUGAAAGUAAGUACGAGGAAAAAGUAGUUUGUUGUAUUGAUUUGUUGAUGCCUACAGAUUUACAAAGGUGGCUAUUUAUAGCCCCGUACAGAUGACUUCUUAACCGACUAGAAUUCUAUCCCUAAUUCAAAUAGAAAACGAAUAUUUACAAGCACAAUUCGUGCUAGGUUGGUUAUCAUACGCUUCAUGGGCUGAUCUUCCCCUUAUCCUUUUAUCUCUUUCCAAGCCCACACAAGCCCAAUUAACCCAACCUCCUAAUCGGCCGAUUCCUUAUCGGCAAGAGGCAACUGAUUGGGAACCCGGCACGCUCGACCCAAAGCGAGACAGAAGUCAUCGGCUGAUCUCGCACUGUAGCAUCGGCCGAUUCCCAACUGUGCUUCUCCAUUUCCCUCUCUUCUUGGCACCGAUUUUACUAGUGACGAAAUCUGGCGUCAACAGUAGGUGAGGGCGAUUACGAAACUAAGAACUCAAAGGUGAUCGUGAGAACAUAAAGGACACAGGGAGUUUUACACAGGUUCGGACCUCCGGAGAGUAAUGCCCAAUGUUCUAUAUGUGGGUGGAUUGUAUUGUUUGUAUGGGAUGAGGUAACCUCGGGGGGCUUCCUUGGCCGCCUUAUAUAGGCUGACGACCUAGGGUUAUAAGUCGGUUUGAAUCUAAUAUACUCGGUAGUUACAUGGAAGUUAAUCUGAGUUGGACUUCAAUACGCGUUCCAUGAUAUCCGGGCAGAUUUUAACUGUCUGGUUUCCUUGGCAUCUACUCCAAGUAUCUUCAUGCCCUUGGCCCGCACACCCUAAUCGGACGGGCCCACUUUUCAGGUUCGGCCAGCAUUUUGGUCGGUAGGGAUCCAUGGGGUACUCGUAUCCCUCAGGCAUGAAAGAUUAGAAGAGGGCCGAAUAGGUAAAUUUUGGUUUUUGAGGUCUAGAUGUGACACCCGGUCCAAUUGGUUGGCCCAGUAUGUCUCAUGAGCGCAGGUGCGCAUGUUUAGUACCACCUUGCUAGUUGAGCAAGGAUUGAGCCAAUUUAUAAGCUUUUAUCAACCAGCCAUAGCACCUUUAGGUCAACCCUUUUGUGAGUAUACAUGCACCUGCUCCGUACACCCACCACCCUAAGACCCUGUAUACAUGCACGUGUACCGUGUACGCUCGUACUUGUACACGAGCAUGUAUAGCUAACACCACCUACACCAACCUUGGGCAUACUUGUGCAUGAAUGUAUACACAUUCCACAUACGUGUAUGUCUACAUGCCCAUAACCACCCAUACUCACCAAGCACAUACCAACGUAUAUGUGUAAUCGCACUUAGUAUGUACAUACGAAGGUACCACAUCCAUGAUAACCCCUACCCCUUGUACGUGUAUAUAGCUACAUAUGCAUGUACCUAACUAGCCGCCAACCUUACACGCAUACACAUACACCAUUCGAGACCAUGACCCAUUAUUUGUAGAAGUCAAUCGAGUCAUUCAUGAUGAUUUGAUCUGGCUUUCUCUCCAAUGGAAGUCAAUCAAUUUAUUUGUGAUGAUUUGAUCUAGCUUUCUCUUCAAAUUCACAUGAUAGUGAAAUAUAAUAACGUGGUCUGAUUUUCGCAAGUUAACCCCCACCUAGACCCAUUAUUUGGAGAAGUCAAUCAAGUCAAUUGUGAUGAUUUGAUCUGAUCUGGCUUUCUCUUCAAAUUUACAUGAUAGUGAAAGAUAAUAACGUGGUCUGGUUUCCACCAAGUCAACCUCCACCUCAUCCCCUCAUCCCCUAGCAGCCUCACUUAUUGGUUGGAUGGAUUAAUCCCAUCUAAUCUAUUUUCAAAUUCACACAGUAGUGAUAGACAAACUAACUCUCAUCCUAAGGACAAGCAGGUUGAUCCCUCUACGGCUGGUUAUGCUUUGUUUGUUUGUUUGUGAUGCUAGGUCGCGUAGGAUAGAGCUACGAAGAGAAGACCGAAGAUCUAGGUCACGUAGGAUAGAGCUACGAAGAGAAGACCGAAGAUCAAGACCCUACUCGAAGAGGAAUAUGAAGGACAAGAUCAUACGAGAACUGAAGGGUGUUGGAUGCGUUCGAAAAGGAAAUCAAGGUAGAGGAACAGAAUCGCUAGUGAGAGGAGGCAAGUCUUAUCUUUCUGCCUUCCACAUACAUUUGCCUUACAUACAUGUAGUGAGUACCACUAUCAGAUGUAGACAUGUCCCUAGUAUAUUACUCCACAAUUUUAACAUAAGCCUACCACCGGCAUGUCAUGGGAGAUCGCCACUUAGAAAUGCACUUAUUAUGAGAAUCAUGUUACCUUGCUAGGUUAUGAGCAUGAUGAUCUAGUAUUGUACUGUGUGGACGUACUAGAGCUGCUUGUGCUGUGUGCCUUAGGAUACCUUGUGCCAUUUUAUGCUGGGGAAGCAGGGUGCCUGCAAAGGUUAACCUGGGGGUGGCGACGAUCCUAUGUGGGUAUCCUCAUUGGAGAGCUUACCCUAGCACCAUAAGGACCAAUUCGUUAGACAUCUGACCUAAUCACGCUAGUGAAACCUCAUGCUGAAUGGGAAGUCUUGAUCUCACACUAAGUUGGAACCUUCCUAAAGCCUGGGUGUUGGAGUAGGCAACGAGGCGUCAGGAGAAGACCUAGGGUGCUGUGUGUUCUCCCAUAAGUCUGGCUUAGGUCCAAAGGUGGUGGUACCUCUAGGUUUUUGAUCUGUGUGAUGUAUUUAUAUUGGCCAUUAUUUAUACGUGUGAUAUUUUGUUAACCUAAGCCCCUGACGUUUCGUUAGUAAUAGUAUAGGGAAAGGCCAGUGGGUGUUAGAUCUCGGCGUGUUAGUUUUGCCAGUAGUGCAUGGCUGGACAAAGCACGCCAUGUGGGUAAAGUGUACAACCUCUGCAGAGUAUAUGAAUUGAAUAACCACGUCCUUGGUACUGGGCAACCAGUUAUGGUGAGGUCUAUAUGUUAGUGUUUAUAAAGAGAUUGUUGCGGGAAAUCGCGUAAGGAACUAGUGAUAGGAAGCCAUGCUAGUGACACAUGUGUUGGCUUGACAACCGAGAAGUGGUGGGAAGGGAGAAUUCUCCCCUAGGGGCCAAACCUCUUUUAUAAAUAUCCAUCUUCGAUAUUGCAUAUUCACCAGAAUAACCCCUUGCAUGCAACCCGCAAAUCCUUACCUUACUAAACCCAAUUGUUGGACUUGCGGAGUACCUCAUGUACUCAUACCACCCUCGUUGAACAUUUUUAGGAGAAAGCUGCAGGAGCCCUCACAACGAUGAAGGAAUACCAGCAGAUGUACUCGAGGAAAAGAACGAGUUAGGGAAGAGAUAGGAUAAGGAACCCAUUUGAUGAUAAAGACUACUAUUAGAAUGGAGUACGCAGGGAGGUGAUGGACUCGUACCAGAGUACGAUUAAAGAUGAGGACCGUACUCUGGAGGAUUCAUGAAGAUGAGGGUUACAUCUACACCCAAGAAUGCCUGUAGGAAUUGAGCCACGAUGCCAUAAGUCCACUGCAGGAGAUCUCUUAUGUUUAUCAUGUCGCUCUGUUUGUAAUGUUUGCCUUGAUUGCCUUGUUGGCAUUAGGCCACUCCUGCAAAGCCAUAAAUGUAAUCCUAUUUUAGAAUCAAUAAAGAUCAAAGUAUUGUUUUGGUAUCAAUCUCUUGCGUCUGUGCAUAUUAGCUACUAAUCCAAGGACUGAUACAAUGUGCACAGUGGACCUCUGAAAAGCAUUUUGAGAAUUUUACCUGACCGGUUUGCCCAUCCCGUCAAUUUUGCGUCAACGGAUCUGAAAGGUCUUUGUAAAUACAGCUAGCCGGGAACAAUUGCAAUAUUGCUGGCCGUUAGGUCGCACUGCCUCCACUGGCCACCACUCACCAAUAGCCCCGCGCCACUAUACGUCCACUGCUAGUGUGCUAGUGUACGCAUGCUUGCCGCACUAAUCUUGUGUGCAAUGUGUAGGAAAAAGGUCUCCUUAUUGUUCACAAAAGCAACCACUACUUCCUAACUUUGAUGUGACCCAUAAUCUUAAAACAAUAAUUUUCAUUCUUCCACAACAUGUGGUGGACGUUGCAAUCUAUAUAUACUUGUUCUUUUAGAGAGAGGCUCCAGAAUUAAGUCUGUAGAUAAAAUGACCAACUUACCCUUAUAUAUAUAUAUAUAUUUAUAUUAUCUAAAGUAUGCAUGUGAGAAAAUAAAUAUUUAAUAGUGCAAAUUAAAUAGGAGAAUAUUGGAAACAGUAGGGCAAAGUUGCCUAGAAGUUGUGGAACAAAUAUUUUGCAUAUUAUAAUGAAGGCUAAAUCAACAAGUAUCAUGAACCAGAGGGAGUACUAAAUUGAUUUUUUUUACCAGACUUGACUUCCCAGUGUAUUAGCUUAUACGUACUGUAUUAAUUACAACCAAACGAAAUCAUGUACUUCCUCCGUCCUAUGAAGAGUGUAAUUGUAGAUUUUUUUUCCGAACACAUUAGUACGGUCGUCAAAUGACCUCAGUACCGUAAUUAAUUUGCCGAGUCGACCUAUUUCGGUGUGUUACCUUUCUGAUCGUUUCCUUACUAGCGUAAAUCGUGGCAUGCAAAGUAAUUAAGGCCGGCAAAUAUGUUUUUCCACUCGAUUAGGCAUGCAAGAUAAUUAAGUGGACCCUACUUGUAGUUCAAUUCUUAAGAUUGCACUCUUCGUAAGAUAUUUCUUUCAAAUGCUAGAAUUGUAGUUUUCAUGGACGGAGAGAGUAACUUAUUUUUUGUUUGUCACUUCACUAGUGCACAACUGUGAAUAUCACUAGGUUCUUAUGAAGCAUGGCAUUCCUUUAGUGUUGAAAGCACGUACGUGUUGCGAAUUGGAACACUACAUUGUGGCCGUACUGGUCAGGAACGCAGUGGACAGGGAAGUGGCAAACACCCAUUCCUUCGCUGCUGCAUAAUGCCGUUCCCAUAAAGUACUGCUCCAUUACUGCUAAUGCACGUGCCCAUCAUGUUGUUGACAGCCUUGGCACUGUGCAUGCCUGCUUCUUCAGGGCAGAGCUCGGGCAAUGGUACGGUGGAGAUACUGAUAUCCUCUCGCCCAUGGCUUUCAAUAAUGAUCUCUAUACGCCUCUCAUGUUAUCCUUAGUGGCAAACUUGCAGUGGUGGCGGCUGGAUUGCUGUCUCAGUGGAGCUGGCACGCCACUGACAUGGAGCUGCUGGGUGUGUGAUCCUCCAGGGAGCUGCUGUUACUGAUGGGUGUGUGGUCCCUACUAUAGCACUGCUGGCAUUUCCACAUGGCUUUGCCCAUACGGAACUGCUGGGUGUGUAAUCCCCCUCUCCCAGCUUGCUAUAGUAGGGAUCAUCCAAAAAUUGUAGAAGCUUUCGUCAUCCUGGCCGUUGUCGGCAUGUUCCUCUUGCACAUACUGGGUUUGUUACGCCGGCGGUCGAGCCGUAGCCUCCUCCAUGCUAUCGUGAUGGGAAUCUACACGCUCUCCUAUCCACUGGUGAGCUACACUAUCGGGCUGAUGUAUAAGUCCGGUAGGAAAUACGAAGACUUCGCCGUGUGGGCAGUGCUUCUGCUCCUCGGCAACACGGACAGCCUCACGGUUCGCCACCUCAGCGACAUCGACAACUGGAAGAGCAUUCACGUCAAACACCUCUACCAGGGAUUCUUGCUGGUGUUUAUCGUUGUGAUUAUUCGCCAGUUCAAGAAUUUGCUCUACCGGCCGGCAACCGCUCUAUGCCAUCCUGGUGGUGGUCAUCCUCAAGGGGUAUCUGAGGAUCGCUUCAAUGAGGAUGGUGAGCAAAUCCUACAUCUGCAAUGCAAGAAGGUGAAGGUGAUCGCCGAAUACAUGCAGCACAAGGACAACCUGGUGGUGCCCUUCGAUCCUGUGACCAUGGAAGGCUACCAGUAAAUGGUCGCUUCGAUCCUGUGACCAUGGAAGGCUACCAGUAAAUGGUCGCUGGCGAGAAGUACUGAUGAAAUAAUGGGCUUGGCCCAUUCCAAUUUCAGAAAUUUUAAAUAAAUUUCAAAGGUCUACGUGGGCAUGAGCAAAUGGUUGAGUGGUGCAAACCUUUAAUCCCACAUUGCUAGUAGAGGAGGAGGAUGACCAACUUAAAUAUGGAGGUUGUCUCCACUCCUCCAAACUAUAUGUGUGGGGAGAGAAGGAAAGCUCCACAACAUUAAGACUCUGGCUGAGUCUACAUCAGGUAGAGUAUAAACAAAAGUUAAUCAUCACAUUGGCAAUUAAUCGAUAUGUACAAGAAGGAAGUUAAAAGUUAAGAAAUAAAAAAGAACAAAUAAACAAAAGUUAUAUACUGAACCUGGUACGCAGUAACUAAUUAAUCAGGUAGAGUAUAAACAAAAGUUAAUCAUCACAUUGGCAAUUAAUCGACAUGUACAAGAAGGAAGUUAAAAGUUAAGAAAUAAAAAAGAACAAAUAAACAAAAGUUAUAUACUGAACCUGGUACGCAGUAACUAAUUAAUCAGGUAGAGUAUAAACAAAAGUUAAUCAUCACAUUGGCAAUUAAUCGACAUGUACAAGAAGGAAGUUAAAAGUUAAGAAAUAAAAAAGAACAAAUAAACAAAAGUUAUAUACUGAACCUGGUACGCAGUAACUAAUUAAUGCACGGAAUUAGUCUUUGGCUCUGAAAUUACUAUACAAAUGAAAUAAAUGUUAUAAAAAGCUAUUGCUAGUUUGUGUCAAUAAAAGUAACAAUUAAAUUUUAUUGGUCCACCGUGAUUUAACAGGAAAGCGUCAUUCUACACCGUUGUUCUAUAGCUCAACAACCACCGAACGUUGCUUUCUUCCCUAUAUAUACAUACAGCCUCAGGGUUCUCUAAGACCCAAACUGCGUACUUUUGGAGUGAGCUAGGUAGAGAAGUGUACAGCGCCCUCAGAAAUCAAAUCUGCAGCCAAUGCAACAUGGAUCCGGCACCGAGUCCCACACCCAGUCCCCUUACCAACGAGUGCCGUAAAGAUCAUACAGAUACCGUAAAAUUUUUUGUCAUCCUAGCCGUUGUCGCCAUGUUCCUCUUGCACGUACUGGGUUCCUUACGCCGGCGGUCGAGCCACACACUCCUCCAUUCUAUCGUGAUGGGAGUCUACACGCUCUCCUAUCCGCUGGUGGGCUUCACCGUUGGGCUGAUGAAAUCAUCCGAAUUCUACUACGAAGACUUCGCUGUGUGGGCAGUGUUCCUUCUUCUGCUCCUCGGCAGCACGGACAGCCUCACGGUUUGCCGCCUCAGCGACGUCGACGACUGGAAGAGCAUCCACGUCAAAUACAUCCUUCAGGGAUUCUGGCUGGUGAUAAUCAUUCUGAUGAUUUGCAAGCAUCAUGAUCAGGAUGUGACCUACGGCCAGAAACUUCCCUACAGGUAUCCGUUGUAUGCCAUCGUGUUGGUCGUCCUCCUCAAGGGGUAUCUGAGGAUCGCUUCCAUGAGGAUGGUGAGCAAAUCCUACCUCUGCAAGAAGGUGAAGGUGAUCGCCGAAUACAUGCGGCACAAUGACAACCUGCCGGUGCCCUUCAAUCCAGUGACCAUGGAAGGCUACCGGUACAUGGUUGCUGGCGAGAAGUACUGCGUCAAUCGGCAGCCUGUGGGCAAACUAUGGUACAAGGGGGACGGCUUAAAAGUUGUCACCGUGGAGCAGAUCUGGCAGUGCACUGGGAGGCUGCUGGUCCUUGAGCGGGGCAAGCUGCUCAAGGACUUGUGCCUCUCUAUGGCACUCUGCAAGAUGCUCAACCGAAGGUUUGUUGGCUUCAAGCUCUCAGAGGCGGGGAAUGAGAAAACCCAUGACUUUGUGUUCAAAGGCCUGCUCGCCGGGGACAAGCCACAUCAGAGGGCCUUCAAGGUCAUCGAGGAAGAGCUUGUUUUUGUCCAUGACUUCUAUUACACAAGGUAUUAUUACCUCUACCAAAAAGGUCGAUACAUUGCCCUCUGUCUGCCCAUCGUCAUGCUUGCCCUAUGCUCGUGGCUCACCUAUCUGCUCGUCAAGCAAUACAAGAGAAGCUCUCUGCAGGAUGCCACCAUAUUUGUAACUGUUGUCGUGGCAUUCCUGGAGGCAUACCAGCUCUACCUGUACAUAUCCUCAGGUUGGUUCAAGGUGGCACUAAUACAGAGCUACAUCGACACACCAUUUUUGCGAAGAAGUCGUUGCCUUGAGAUGAUCAUAGGCCUUCUUUUGAGGUUGAAGGCGUUUGCACCAUGGAAGCGCAGUCUUGGGCAGUAUUGUAUCCUCCAGGAGCUUGGUCGCAAAAGUAGGGUUAGGAAUUGUCUCCAUUAUGCUACGCUGUAUUUGGUGGACAAGGCCAUGAAGGGAAGCAAGAAUUCAGUGAAGCUGUCCGAAGAUGUGAAGAAAGCCAUCAUUGAUUCCCUACUAGCAAGCAACGGAUACCUGACGAACCGGGUAACAUCGCUGCAAAGAAAUGGCGUCCAUGAUGACCUCAAAUGGGCAUGUGAUGCUACUGCUACUGACGGAGCGGUGGCUCGCACCAUUGUGGUCUGGCACAUUGCUACAACCCUGUGCGAGCAGAAGCUGGAUAAACAAGACAAAGAGGAAGACGCUGUCAAAACAGCCUCCACUUUAUCCAAGUACUGCAUGCACCUCCUUGCUUUUGCACCUACCCUCUUGCCCGACCACAGCUCCAUAUCAGAAUCCAUACUUGAUCAGUCAAUCGACGAAGCAAGCAAGUUACUCAAAGAGGGCAAGAACAAGAAGAUCGAGGGCAGGUGUGAGAUAUUAAUGGAAAUUAACACCGAUGGAUGUGUUGAUGAUGAAACAAGGCUUGUUGCGCAGGGCGUUCACCUUGCAAGGCAACUGAUUGAUAACAUACAAGACUUCACAACACGGUGGAAGGUGCUAUCUGAUUUCUGGGCGGAGAUGAUGCUGUAUGUCUCGCCAUCUGACGAUGCUCGGGAGCACCUGGAAGUUCUUGCAAAAGGAGGGGAGUUCAUCACUCACCUUUGGGCGCUGCUCACGCAUGCCGGUGUGCUGAAGAGAGGCCCUACAGAGCCAAAGGAUGUUGUGUGAUCUGUCCAACCAGUGCACACGUAGCAGUCCAUAUAUCUACCUAGUGCUUGUAAGUUGUAACAUCCUACGUAUAUUGCCUACAUUCAUCACUAGUAGAGAAUUGGCUUUCGAUGCGUCCCCUUUUGUCCCGGUUUAAAGUUGGCCGGGAUAAAACGUUCACCAACCGGGACUAAAGCUCGGUCACUGGUGGGGAGCUCACCAACCGGGACCUUUUAUCCCAGUUGCAAAGGCUAGUGGGAAAAAAAGACCAUGAAAGGUCUUUUAUCCCGUUGGUGUUACCAACCGGGAUAAAAGAAAAGGGAUCUUUUAUCCCGGUUGGGAUAAAAGGGUCGAGAGCCUUUUAUCCCGGUUUGUAAUACCAACCCGGAUAAAAGGGGGUCAUUUAUCCCAGUUGGUGUUUCAAACCGGGAUAAAAGGAUCCCAACGAGGUGACUGAAACAGGACUAAAUCCCUCGAACCCUUUUAUCCCGGUUUGUAAUACCAACUGGGAUAAAAGGGGGUCUUUUAUCCCGGUUGGUGUUUCCAACCGGGAUAAAAGGGUCCCCACAAGUUAAUACAAAAUGAUAGCAUCCCCUAUAUAGUCAGAUGUGGUGUGUAGGUGGGAUGGCAAGGAAGCUACGCGCGAGGCUGGAGGUUAUGGGUUCGAAUCCCACGCAGCACGCACGCGCAUAUUUCGCGUGACUUGUGACGUGUGACGUGCGCGUGUGGGGGGCCUCCUGGGAGCUUGGGAUUUCUUUUUUUUUUGCAGCGCCGGCCAUGGUGACCCAUUUUAUCCCGGUUGGUAUUACCACCCGGGAUAAAAGGCGGGGGUCUUUUGUCCCAGUUGAGUGACCCGGUAUCCCGGUUGGUUUAUCCCGGAUGAAUUUUUGGGAGAUUUGCACCCUACCAACCGGAACUAAAGGCCAAUUCUCUACUAGUGCAUGUUGGGACAGACCUACUUGUGGCAUACCAUGUGCGAGCUAGAUCCUGUUUGGCACAGCUUUGCCUUCCGCAAAAAUGGCUCUGGCUCUAGCUUUUCUGAUGAAUCAGCUUUUUUUGGCUUUGGCUUGACUUGGUGGAAAAAACGUUUGGUAAAACGAUUUCUCCUCUUAUUUUAGAAUGUAUAUAAGAGUCAAAUAUCUACAGUAUCCUUAUCUCCUUUUCUCUUUCUUUUUUUCCUUUUUCCUAUUUCUUUUUUCUUUCCCCAUUUCUUUUUUCUUUCUUAUUUUAUCUCCUUCACAUUCCUUCUUUGAUUCUUCCAUUCUUUUUUCUCUCUCCUGCAGCCUUUCUCUUUUUCUCUCUCUCCGAGCCACGUUGCACACCCUUCUUCCUUUCUUUCUUUUUUUCCUGCCUGGUUUCUCUCUCAGGCGGUGCUGCUGUCUGACCCGCACCUGGACACAUGUGUCUUUACGCAGCACAAGGCAGGGAUGAGCCACGAUAAGCCAGAAAAAAUGGCUCAUGCCCCAUAGUGCAAGCCGUCGUCUGUAUUUUGCAGAGCUUUUGCCUGUGAGCCGUUUUGAGCUGCACCCUUUGGCACAGCUUGCCCAUAAGUGGCUCCUGAAGCCGGUUCAUGAGCUGUGCCAAAGGACACCUUAGUCUGUCGACUCUGUAUCUCUUUUCAUGUCGUGUCUGUUGUUGGCUUUUGGACAUAGUGGGAUCUGUAAUUUCCUCAAGUUUCAUUAAGAACAGUGCGCAUUUAGGUUGCUGGACAUGCGCGCAUCUUAGGUGGUCAUUACAGUCAUUAUCCGGUGACCACUUGGGUCAUGAUCCUUAGUUAUGUUCUGUAUAUAAAGGGGAAGAAAACCGAAAAUGCUGCAGCUUGGUCGCAGCACAAAUCCAGUCCCUCUCAGUUGCAUUUGGUUGUGUGUCAAUCGAGCAGAUCUUGUUGCAGCAGAGACUAACCCUACUACUACAGAAGGGGCGAGGAUCCCCUUUUGAGGAUUCCAGCUCCUCAGGGAGGGGUUCAACCUUGAGGAUGACGCCAUGGUAGGAAUAUUCUUGCAUUCAUGUUCAUAAUGAGACUGAGUGUUAUGGAAAAAUGUAGUCUCCUCGCUCCCUCUUCCCUCUUUGGGGAAGGGAAGCCUUUAUUCUUUGCUGAGUGUAUUGGAUCCCCAUAUCGGGCACUGGUAAAAUGGGUAUUUACACGAUGUUAGGAUCAUAACACUGGUGGCGGGCCACUAAGUAAUGAAAGGACGGACUUCCUUAUGUGGCACCUAAGUACAGCUCUAUGCACUCAUGCAGAGGGGACACGUCCACAAUUUUUUUCAACUAUCGUAUCGAGAUCAGAGGUGGUGGCAACCAGAGAGCGAGCUUGCUACGGAUCCUGACACGCGCCGCAGCACUGCAGCACCACCUGACAACGACCAUUUCCAUGUCUAAUUUUCUUGCCAGCCAGAUUCUAAUUCAUUUGGAGUUUUGGUCUGCUCCAGGUAUCCAGUUUUCGAUCACUCUCUGAUUUCUGGACAUAUGCUGCCCAACUUUAAAAUGCAUUUUCUUAUGGUCUGUGAGAUGCAGAUCAGCAAAUUGGUAUUCCGGUGUUUGUUUUCCACGAGCAGGACACAGGUAGUUUUUGUCUGGGCUUACAGACGUUGCAUGCGUCGUUGGACGGUGUGGCAGACAGCUCUCUGAUUGCUGCUGCUGGGUCGCUGUGUCGUCUGGGCUAGGCAAGCUGACCAAGUCUAUUCUUCAUCGAUGGGCAAAUCUGUUCUUUUGCGGGCCCAUGAAUUUAGGUGCACGCAUCACAACGCAUUCAAUCAUUCACACGCGGGAUAUCUUAAAGCUGAAGGCUGGGUCUCAACUUGUGUUGAUUAUGUUGAUGCUUGCUAAGUGUGCAUCAGGUAGAGUAUUCUGGUUAUAUUAGAGAUCUAAUAACCUUGGUUUGUAAUAUCAAUAUGUACGAGCAGGAAGUUAAAUUAAAACAAAACCAAAGGAAUAAUCAAAAGUUCCAUAUUCAACCAGGUUCGUGGUACUGCACAAAAUUAAUCUUUGUCUUAGAAAGUUCUAUAGAAAUGAAAUAAUUGUUAUAAUAAGUUAGUUUGCUUCGAGAGAAAUUAGCAAUUAAAUUUUGUGGUCCACUGGGAUUUUAUCCCAAGGCUUCAUUGUAGACUGUUCCAUGGCCUACAUAAAUGGUAUGGUUCUAUAGCUCAACAAUCACCAAGCGAUGUUUUUUUCCUACAUUCACCACUAUCUGCAUGACACCAUAUUCAUAACGGUUGUCAUGGCAUUCCUGGAGGCAUAAAGGCCUUCUUUUGAGAUUGAGGGCAUUUUGGCCAUGGAAGGGUAGACUUGGGCUGUACUGUGUAUCCUCGGGGAGCUUGGCAAUAAAAGUCGGGUUAGGAAUUGUCUCCAUUAUGCUACACUGCGCCUGGUGGACAAGGCCAAGAAGGGGCGCAAGAAAUCAGUCAAGCUGUCGGAAAAUGUGAAGAAAGCCAUUGUUGGUUCCCUAGUGGGAAGCAACGGCCACCUGACGAAUGGGGUAACAUCGCUGCAAAACAAUGGCAUCCAUUGUCUCUCAUGGCCAUGUGAUGCUACUGCUACCGACGGAGCGGUCACUCGCACCAUUCUCAUUUGCAUAUGAUGCUAUACUGCUACCGACGAAGCGAGGACAAGCUGGAUGCACCUUUCAAAACAGAAGACGCGGUCAAAACAGCCACCAUUUUACUCAAUGACGCCACAGCUUGCCUUCGCACCUAACCUCUUGCCUGACCACAGCUCUAGCUAUAUCGGAAUCCAUACUCGAUAAGUCAACCGAGAAACCAGUCUAUUUACUCAAAGAGGCCAAGGAAUUGAGGAAAUGAGGAGCAGGUGUAAGAAACUAUUGGAACUUAGCAGCGACAGUGGUGAUGGUGAUGAAGGACCUCUCGUUAUGCAGGGUGCUAAGCUUGUGAAACAUCUGAUCGAAGACAUACAAGAACCGAAAUUGAAAUGGAAGAUCCUCUCUGAUUUCUAGGCGCAGAUGAUGCUGUACAUCUCGCCGUCCCACCAUGCCCGGGCGCACCUGGAAGUUCUUGCAAGAGGAUGGGAGUUCAUCACGCACCUUUGGGCGCUGCUCAUGCAUACCGGUGUGCUGAAGAGAGGACCUACAGAGCCAAAGGAUGUCUGAUCUCUCCAACCAGUGCACACGUAGCAGUCCAUAUAUCUACCUAGUGCUUUGAACAUUCUAUUUAUAUUGCCUACUGUCAUGUUAGGACAGACCAACUUGUGGCAUACCAUGUGUGAGUUAGUCUGUCGAGUUUGUAUCUCUUUUCACGCCGUGUCUGUUUUCAGAUUUUGAACAUAGUGGGAUCUGUAUUUUCCUCGAGUUUCAUUAAGAAGAGUGCGCGUUCAGGUUGUUGGACGUGCGCGCGUCUUAGGUGGUCAUUACAGUCAUGAUCUGGUGAUCACUUGGGUCACGAACUCACGAUCCUUAGUUGCAGCUUCAUCGCAGCACAAAUCCACUCCCUCUCAGUUGCACUUGGUCAUGUGUCAAUCGAGCAGAUCCUGUUGCGGGAAAGGGAAGCCUUUAUUCUUUGCUGAAUGUAUUGGACCCCCAUUUUGGGCACAGGUAAAAUGGGUAUUUACACUUACAAAAGUAAUAAAUGGACGGACUUGCCAAGCAGGCUCAUAACUAACAAAUAUGCCACAGAACUCUCUUGGUACACUCAUUUCCUAAAUUAUGCAAGAAACUAGGGAUGGUCCUGAAUUAUAUGACUAAGAUGUUUAGCAGCAUUUUGGAAAAUAUACCGCAAACAAAGACGAUGCCUCGUGUUAGGGAAUAAAAUUCUAAUUGCAGCAGACAUGGCAGCACACUAAUCCGUGAAAAUUGUGCUAGGAUGCUUGUUCGACAUUGCUGUUAGGAUUGUUUUCAAGAGCCAAACAAAUGAUUCAAUGGUUUCAUUAUAUAAUAUUGCAGCCCCAAAUAUAAUUGUUUGCUUGUGAUGGUUGGUUCCAAGAAGUGGUGCAAAAGGUAUCUCAAAUUUGUUGGUUUGAAAUGUUGUGUCAAAUGACACUGCAUCACCAAAACAUGCAUAGUCCAUGAUAGCUUGACCAUCUUUCCAAAAAAUAUUGCUAUCCGACCAUCUUCCUCAUCUACUUGUAUGGCAUAAAAAAAUAUAAGAUCCUCUAAUUGCUUAUUCUUCAAAUAUUCUAGUAGUGUUUGUGCAUUAUUGGAUGGUAUGUACUUCUUCCGCUCACGACCAAUCAUAUUAUUGCAAACCAUUUGUGAGAAAGGUACAUUCUUAACUCCUCCGUACCACUGCUUAAAAAAUUCAUACACUUUGGCUGGUUGUAUUCUAGCUCCUCGUAUAAGAGCAAUUAGUUGUUUAUCUACCUUUGUAAUAUUUCUUUGAGACCUCAGCUUGUUUACCUUAUUUAGGCUAGCAAGAUAGUGAUUGUGGUUAAAUACAACCUUUUGAACUGUCCAAAUGCCCUCUUGACUUAUACUAAACUGAACCCGAGCAUUGAAAUUUGUCCUUGUAGUAGCAUUUUCUUUUGAAGUCUCAUGUGAUGAAUGCUUACUUCGUUGUCCUUGAUUGCUGCAAACUAUGUGCUUUUGAUAUAUACUUCCAUCUGGUCUAUGCCUUGUAGUGCUCUUUCUUAUACUAAAACCAAUAGUCCUUGCAUAUGCAUUGUACGUUUCAUAUGCAUCAUCCUCUUAUUUGAAAGACAUCCCAACUUGAGGUACAGGUCAUGAUUACUACCCUCCUGCAGUCCAAUGAAAUAUACUGAAAGAUAUGUCAAGACUCCAUUUUGUUACUUUUGAACUACCUGAUCUUGAGGUGCCACGUCUUCUGACAUCUCUAAAGCUGAUAUGGUUGAAUUUGGUAGCAUCACCGUCACCUCUGGGAGUAUGGACGCACCGGUGACCGGCUCAAUGGUAGGGCUCAACGAUGAUCUCGAUGGUAAAGCACAACGAAUUGUGAUCUCAACUGGUGCCUCGACUGCGAGGGUUGAAGAAAUCACGGCGAUGGUGUCCAUGUUGGUUGUGGGCAUUGAUGGCAGAAUUGUCUAGACCAUGUUCCCUGAAGCUGCACUCGAUUUUCUGGUGGCAGAAUCAUGCAUCGUCUCGAUCCGUUUUUUAUGGAGGGGCCUUAAUCUCCGGAAAAAAUUCUCUGCUGGACCUUACGCUACGUGGGGUGCGGCGGUGCUCCAUUCGUAUCACGCGGGGCUUGGAAGCUCGAGCUGGUGCCACCGGCGACCGACCGCCAACGUGCGACGCGGGGGCGGGGUGCUGCGGCCAGCGUCUAGGGUGGGGUGCCGCUGCACGCAGGACCAGGAGUGCGAGCAGUGCCACCGUCCGCAGGACCGGGAGCGCAAGUAGUCGCCGUCGUGGGAGCGCGAGCAGUCACCGCAAGGGAGCGCGAGCAGUCACCGCCAUCCGCGUGACCGGGAGCGUGAGCAGUCGCCGUCGUGGGAGCGUGAGCAGUCGCCGCAAGGGAAUCGGACAUGGGCCGUGGGGUGCCGCUGCUGGGCCUCGCGCUACAUGGGCUCAACGCUCGAGCAGUCGCCUCAAGGGAAUCGAAAAGGGAAUCUGACACAGGACGCGUGGACGUAAUCUAGGCGGUGUCACACCAGGCGCACGGUGCGGCCCCGCAAAGAAUUUUGUUCCAUUGUUAAUGGAUUUCUUCGAAUGUGGCACUUGGUUUUUCUUAAAUGUUAAUAAUGUGUCAUUGACCUUUUCCGGUUAUCAUAAGACAUUUUUUACUGGAUAUAUGACAGUUGACUGACUUCAAACAAGAGUUAAUUAACCGGGUGAAAUGUACACCAUAAUGGACUUUCAAAAAAUAAAUCUACAUCAUCAAGAUGGACGAUAGAGGGACUAACAGCAGGGAACUUAGAAUUUUGGUAGGUUAUACAGCUUCAUCACCUCAGUAAGAAUCUGCUGGUGAUUGGAGGCGGGCUGCAGGAAGAGAGUUCAGUUUCUUAGACCAUUAUUAUGAGGUCAGAAUUGCAGGCUCUCUGGAAGCUCUUCUACAGGAUUGUGCAAGGAUUUCUUUCGCUGAGGAUGCAGACAAGUUAUUCCUGUUGACGUCUCUGGAACCUUUUCUACGGUGACGUCUUUUACAUAAAUCUCUGAUAUUACAAAAUGUGAGCUUCCAUGCAAAUUUAUAUAGUUACCUAAAAGAAAAAAUUAGUAACAUGAAAAUUUCUCUAAUUCUUUUUUAAACAACGUAUAGAUGCAUACACUUGUACAUACGCAUGCCGACUCACCUAUGAACGAAAGCACACACAUCUACCCCUAUCAUCAAAUCACAUCCACACAUUACUCAAUGAAGGAGUAAAAUCUGGCAAACCCUGCUUAAGAAUAAAUAUCUAAGUUCAAAAUGUGUAUGACAAGUACAGAUUAAAGCCUGGUGAGUCAUAUUUUGAGAAAUGUUUAUUAAAAGCUAUGGAAGAAUUUCUGAGACGUGGGACAUUCAAAAACAGGUAUGGUUCGCAAACCGGAUUUUGAAAGGACACAUGGGUGGGUUCGAAACUCCUUAAAGAGCAAUUUCCUAGCAUGUAUAAUAUAGUUAUUUAAGGAGAAAUUUCCUAGCCUGCAUAAUAUAGUCAUCUACCCUCAUGGUACGUGUCUUACGUCAUGAUUCAAAUGUCACUACAUGUUUCUUUUCGAACAUCAUUAGUUGGGGAUAAAUUGAUGGCAUGAAAAUACCUAGUAGCUAAGAUAGCAAACUUUCAGCUUUCUAAUCAGAGGACUAUUUUAGCUAGGAAUUACAUAAACAUGGUUAAUCUUUCAAUUCGGUCCAUGUAUCAGUACCUGAUAAACUACGGUACCCCUUCCAACAAUAAAUUCAUUUGGAAGCUGAAGCUCCCUUUGAAGAUGAAGAUUUUUCUUUGGUUUCUCAAGUCGGGAUAAUUUUAACAAAGGCUAACUUAGUUAAAAAAAUUGAUUGGUGAGACAAUAGUGUUUUUCUGUGAAUGUAAUGUAAAGAUUAAACAUCUCUUUUUUGACUGCUAGCAUGUUAAGUCUAUUUGGAGAAUUAUUCAUAUAGCUACUGGGUUAAUCUUACCAAGAUCCUUAACUCAUAUGCUUGGGAAUUGGCUAAUGGAUAUAGGGGAAAAUGAGAGGAAAUUGAUCUUUGUGGGUAAUGCAAUUCUUAUUUGGGAAAUUUGGUGUACAAGAAACAAUCUUGUCUUUUAGAAAAAUGAUUUUGUAGGAUCAUAUCGGCUGCAAUAUUGGGCACUGUUGCAGCGUGAGGCAUAAGGGAGACCAUCCGAUUGGUGAGCAGAGCUUUGGACUUUCUUGCACAAAAUUGAUAGACAAGAAACAAUAGACUUUGCUUAGGAUUUCUUCAUUUUGCUUGUGCUCUCUUCUUCCUUUCUAUGCUCAAUUAUUGACCUGAAAACUUUGUGAUAAGGAGGCUGUGUGCCGCUGCAAAGGUCGAAAACAAUUCCUUUUUCUUAAAGGAAAAAGACAUAGGCACACAUAGCACACAUAUCAUGGACCAUGUUCAAUAUCCAUGCUUAUGAAUUAAUAUCCUUUCUAUAAAAUCAUUGUGGAUCGAUAUCGAAACAACAGAACUGAUUAGUUGGUUUAGAUCGGAGUUAAUGAGGGGCACAUACCUCUUCUGCCAUCUUGGUUAAUCUGUCCGAGAAUGGAAGAUCGGUUAAAAUUCCAAGAUGGGGGAUGUAUAUAACAUUUAGCAUGUGUGAAAAAUGCACAGAUGCAUCGGUGCUACGUACAUGAGGGUAGUAGGCUUGAUGCGCUGCAUCGAACAUUCUGUUUCUAUGCAGGGUGUAGUUUCUGUGAUCGUAUUUUUAACGCCGGAGUAUUUUUUAGAUUACGUGAAUAGACGCGCCGAUUAAGGGAUGGAUGUUUUCCCUUUCUCUAAGAAUUUCUAACAUAUUUCUCAUUUUAUUUUUCUGUUAUGGCGUAGAAGGUACAUCUACUUUUUUUUUCACCAACUGUCAUGCAUGAAGCUAGGUUAACAUAAGGAGAUAGCCAGUGCACCGAUCAGUGUCACUUGUACUGUAGUCGUUUGCUCCCCGUGUCGUGCGGCCAUGGCAAGGCGCGAUAGCAUUUAUCAUAUAGACAGCUACGGAGCUAUACCGUCCUCCAGAAAACAGCUACGAAGCUACCGUCCUCCAGAAAGGUGCUCCAGAAAGGACCUCUCUACAGAUGCCUGCUCACAAUGGAUGCGUCAGAAACCUCGUUCGUGAAGAGAGAUUUUGUUGGCCAUCUUUCUCUCUGUCAGCGCUCGGAGCUAGUGUCGCUUCUUCUUCCCUGAGGCCAAAACUGACUGCUGAUAACGGCAGCGUCACUGACCUAGCUGCACUGUUGGCUCUCAAAGGCCAGCUCUAGGAUCCUCGCGGCGUCCUUGCCGGCAGCUGGACAACUAACAUGUCCUCCUGUCGCUGGGUCGGCAUCUCAUGCAGCUGCCACGUCAGCGCGUCAUGGCUCUGUCGUUGCCAGAUGUUCCCCACCAAGGAGAGUUCAUCCCUCAAUCUUGGUAACCUCUCUUUCCUCUCCAUGCUUAACCUCACAAGGACCAACCUCAUUGGCUCCAUCCCUGCCGAUGUUAGUAGGUCACAUCGUCUUCGAAAACUUGCUCUUUUUGGAAAUGGUCUUUCCGGCGCCAUUCCUAGUAAUUUUGGAAGCCAUAUGCGGCUUAAGGUUCUAGACUUGGGUAUCAACACACUCUCGAAUCACGUAUCAUGGAAGAUGCUAAAGAAUCUGCACAGCCUUCGGAUUCAGCUGCCGCAGUCUGCGAGCCUCACAGGUGGCAUCGGGAGUUCAAGGUUUUUAUCAGCCGGAAUCUCGGCGAGGCGGCAGGAUUGAAUCGUCACCAGUUGAUCAUGGCGAGAGCGUGAUCUCUUCGGCAUCUCCUUAUAACUUUUGGCAGCAAAUUUUUAUUGGGCCGGUUCUGUAUUGGGUUUUGACUCUAUUCUUUUUAUAUUGGGUUUUGGGUCACUACGUCAGCUUAAUUAGAAAAAUCUCUGCAUCCCUAGUUGUGUCAUCACGGACCUGCUUGCGGUCGUCCUCUUGGAAGAGAGCUCAGAGUGCGUGCUUCGGCUGCAGGCAUUGCACGACCACUGCUGCAGCUUGGGUUCUUUUGCGGUUCUUACGGGCUUGGUAGGCUGGGCUGCAAAGCCGUUGCGGCUUGGCCACAUAAGCGCCAAAAAGACGAUUUUUAGGGGGCGGGCCUGGCGGGUUGCAUUAAUUACCCGCCCAUAUCAAGGCAGAUCGUUGGAGCGAUUCACCAAAUUCUCAUCUCAAGCUAGCUCGGUAUUACAAUUUGAGUGCUGUGCGUGUGACGAUGAGCUCGUGAUGUCUGCAGCGUAUACGUCACUUGGUUGCUAUCGUAUACCAAAUGUCUUGCAGCAGGUAGCUGAUUCGAUUGGCUAGCUUGCUCACCAAGCUUCUUUGCUCUGAAAUGGAGUGGAACUUAAGUAAAGUUUAGCCGCUUUUGGAAAAGUAACUGCUCGACAACGAAUCUCUCUGCUGACUUCACCGAGUCGAUAAAAAAAAAAAGAGUUGGAGGCGAGGAUGGAGCAGAUGAUUCAGCAGAGGCUGAAGGCUGAGCGGCAGAGGAUGGAGGAAGAACAACGGUUGAGGAUGGAGCAGAUGUUUCAAUACAUGCAGGGUUUUGCAUCGAGUAUGGGUCAGCCAGCGCCACCGAUGCUAUUCCCUCCACCUCAACCACCCACAACUACUCCUGCGUCACACUUGACACCUUAUACUGCAGAUUGAAUACUUUGACUUAGAGAGCUUGUUUCUAUCAUAAAUGUCCAAAUCCCAAAUGAUAUGUUAGCUCAAAGUGAAAUAUGCUAUGAUACGUUAGCAAAAAAAUGAUAUGUUAGCUCUAAAUGUUAUCUCAAAAUGAUAUGUUAGCUCUAAAUGUUAGCUCAAAAUGAUAUGUUAGCUCAAUCUUAUCUCACACAUGCAAUCUCUUCUCCUCUGUGCAGAAUCAAUCGGCGGCAUCGAAUAAUCACCCUGAAGAUCUGAAUUUGUCGCAGUGGUUCCCAGGGCCUCUGCAGUGACUAUUUGUGACUUAGUUGUGACUUACUUGUUACUUGCCUUUGCAUUUGUGGCUUACUUUAUGCUUAUUGUGAAUUAUGCUUGUGAUGCUUAUUGUGAAUUAUGCCUGUGAUGUUUGUUUGAGGGGGGGUCAUUAUACGUGACCGAACCAUAAAAUCAUCGCUUUGCCAAGUGUUACACUCGGCAAAGAAGCUAAAUUUGUCAUUCUGGGCAAAGCUUUGCCAAGUGUUUGUCCUUGACACUCGGCAAAGCGACCAUAAAAUCUGUCAUAUACGCAAUACUUUGCCGAGUGUUUGUCCGUGACACUCGGCAAAGGGACUAUACAUAGUACUUUGCCGAGUGUACUGGAGUUGACACUCGGCAAAGAUUUAAAUAUCGCCGAGUGCUGCUUGGCUUAACACUCAGCCACAUUUUAAAUAUUGCUAAGUGCUUUCUUCGUAACACUCUGCAAAGUUUAGAUUUUUGCCGAGUGUUUUCCAGUUAGGACACUCGGCAAAGCUUAGAUUUUUGCCGAGUGUUUUUCCGUCGUGGCACUCAGCGAAGGCUCCGUCACCGUCUUCUCGCCGUCCCCGUCACUUUUUUUUUGCCGAGUGUCAACCUAGCACUCAGCAAAGCUUUUGCCGAGUGCCCGACAAAAAAUACUCGGUAAAUAAACUUUGCCGUUAAAAUCGAUGCCGAGUGUCGGUUGCCGAGUGUUUUUGGGGCUUCGCCCAUUAUUUUUGGCACUUGGCAAACAUCCUAUUUCCGUAGUGAGGUGCAAGAUAGGAAGAAGAGGAGAGGACGAGGAUGGGAGCAUUGAUUGUGGGCCCACACGAAUCAUUGCGGGUGGCCUGAGAUGGAGGCGGGCAUCCUCCCAUGAAAAUGAUAAAAUGGUCAAAAUCAGCCAACCUUCAAUUGUUGUGAUUUCUCCCUGAGAUGGGAGAAUUGGGGACUGGGAGUAGAUCAACACGGGAGGAACCGCUGGAAGGAAGGAAGGAAGGUUCAGUUCGGGAUUCAGAGUUUCAGCACGGUCGCCAUGGCAUCGAUCUGCUUGGAGAACAACAUCACGCAGCGAGGGCGCCCAAAAACCAAGGGAAGGACGGCAUGGCAGUACUGCAAAGGAGGCAGAGCAGCGAAGCAGAGGAGAGCGGUGAGUUGUCGAGCGAGCGAGACCGACGGAGGUGUUUGGACAUCAACAUCUGUUGAUGAGAGCAUCUUGCAAAUACUUCGAUUAUUGGUGUCAUCCUCUACUGUGUCAUGGUAUUAUCUACUCAUUUAAGCACCAAUAUAUAAAAACUCUGGCUUUUAUCGAAAAGAACAAAAAGAUUCAGCCCCGAUGUGAUCCCACCGGCCCCCACGCGUUUCACGUGGUAACAGUACUUCAAGUUUAUCUUCCAUUAUCUAUAAACCCACGCAGAUUACGAUAUGGACCACGUGAUCAUGUGUCACAAUCACACGCACCACCCACAGACAUGCUGAUGGUCAUCGGCCCCCAUGAAUUAUUGAAGUCCAUCCCAUGCGUGCAGCCGUGUAUAAACACCGCCCUCCGGCAGGCUCCUCCAUCACCACAUCCACCACCUCCUCUCCUCAUCCUGCACUCUGACUCUCCUCGUCGUAGUAGUGUUCGAUCGUGUGUGUGCAAGUACAGCAAUGGGGUUUGGGCGGAAGGUUGGAGAGGGUGGGGUUAGCAGGUGGCUCCUCCUGCUCGCCGGGGUGCUGCUGGCGGUGGCUGUCACGGUGACGGCCGGUGACGCUGCGGAGGAGGGAGCCACCGCUGGCGACUACACGUUUGGCGCUGUGGAGGAGGGAGCCACCGCGGGCAAAGACAGCCUCCACGGUAGCCGAGCUAUGUGCGAGCUCAAAUGCCAACAUCAUCAAGAUCCAGUGAACAAGCAGCGGUGCAUUGACUUCUGCAUACGGUGGCAGCUAGCACUACUCUUUGACGUUAAGGAGGAGGAUGGAGCCACCACCACUGACGCCAUCACCGCUGGUGAGGACGGCAUCUGCGCCAGCCGGCGCAUAUGCAAGCUCAAGUGCCAGCACCAUCACGACACGGUGAACAACAACCGGUGCACCGACUUCUGCAUAGGGUACCAAGUGGCACUAGAUGCCAUUAUGGAGAAUGGAGCCACCGUCACCGCUGGUGAGGACACGUUACGCGGUAGCAGGCUUAUGUGCGAGCUAAAGUGUCAGCACCACAAUAACCCGGUGAACAAGAAGAGGUGCGUCGACUUCUGCAUUCGGUACCAGCUGGCACUGCAUGAUAUCAAUGAUGGAGCCACCGCCGCCGCUGCCGGCGGAGCCAUCCGCCAGGUGGUGUGACGCCGGCGCGUGCAUGGACGGCAUGAAUAAGGGCCUAAGUACGUGUCGCUGGAUAUUUACGGACCGCUCGUGUGCGUUUGUCUUUUACGUUGAUUUGUGUGUGAUGUGUGAGAGGCCCUGACCGAAGCUUACAUAUUCGGUUUCACUAGUACUUGUUGUCUCUGGUUCUACUGCGUUUGUAAUAGCCUUUGCAAGUGACUUGUCAGUUGUGAUGAAUAAAGCAACAGGCUCUUUUUCGUUCAGAGUGGAUUUGUAAAAAGCACUGGCCAGUUAGGUUUAUUUUGAACAAGAUCGUCAUCUCCUCUUUUAGCACGCUAGGUCAUCUCGAGAAUGAUUAAAUUCUCAACUCAUAAAUGGACAAUAUUGUUGGUAUAGGUGGC